rnacentral:rRNA from 1 species
UUGAACGCUGGCGGCAGGCCUAACCCCUGCAAGUCGAACGGUAACAGGAAGCAGCUUGCUGCUUCGCUGACGAGUGGCGGGCGGGUGAGUAAUGUCUGGGAAGCUGCCUGAUGGAGGGGGAUAACUACUGGAAACGGUAGCUAAUACCGCAUAAUGUCGCAAGACCAAAGAGGGGGACCUUCGGGCCUCUUGCCAUCGGAUGUGCCCAGAUGGGAUUAGCUUGUUGGUGGGGUAACGGCUCACCAAGGCGACGAUCCCUAGCUGGUAUGAGAGGAUGACCAGCCACACUGGAACUGAGACACGGUCCAGACUCCUACGGGAGGCAGCAGUGGGGAAUAUUGAACAAUGGGCGGAAGCCAGAUGAAGACAUGCCGCGUGUAUGAAGAAGGCCUUCGGGUUGUAAAGUACUUUCAGCGGGGAGGAAGGGAGUAAAGUUAAUAACGUUGCUCAUUGACGUUACACGCAGAAGAAGCACCGGCUAACUCCGUG